CACACAUACACACACACACUAUCUAUAUAGAGAGAUCAUGUGUCUUGGUUCCACACAGUGUCUGAUAAAUGUAUCAGUGUGGCUGUGUCUCAGUAUAGAACUUCUCUGCAGGAAGUGACCACAUCCUCUGGUGCCUGUGCCUUGUGAGGCACCGCUGCCGCUCUAGCUGCUGCCGAACACUGAGCUCUCUUGAGUCGUCUACUUCCUGCCGUGUAUCAUGCAGCCUGUUAGCUUAACGCUAAGCUAGGGAGGCACUGUGAAGUAGGUCUGCUGCCUCUUCAGAGAUGUGGAGACCAGCAGCAUUUUCUAUUGGGAAAUAACUGCGCAGGCUGAGGCCCACGCCUGCCCUCAACAACAAUGCAAAUUUCAGCAUAUAAACUGGGGCACGUACACAGCAGCGGAUCGAGGUGGUCUGUGCUGAGGGAAUCUGGAUCAUCAGCAGAUCCAGAGCAGGAAACCAAGUUUACACAGAAAGAGAUAUCGACUGAUACAAACCACAUGCAGACACACCUUUUAAAAGGACCUGCUAACAAGAAAACUGCAUCUGCUGA